CCCCCACCACCAGCUCACCCAGAACCGUCAGGGAGCACCUUCACUUAUUCAAAGUCAUUGCGUUUGAGCUUAGUCCUCACAGCAGAAACAAGUGAGGUCACCCAGGCGUGCAGUUGAGGAUCACACAGCCAGCCGGGCUCCAGCCCAUGCCAGUCCAACUCCUGGCGGCAGGAUUUUGCAUCCUGCCCCCUGGGCCGGAUGGCCACGGGGCUGCCACAAGGCCCAUGAUGAGCUGCCACCUCUGGGGCAUUGCCUGCACUUGGCACGAGGACUCACCAGCAUGGGAAGCACAAGGGCCUGCCAGGUGGCCCUCACAGACAUCCUUGCAGGAUCUGACCCUUCCACUGUGCCUCUGCCCUCGCCCCGAGGCCAGCACCUGCGGCUGCCUCUGCUCCUCUGCCCAGGCUGCCCAGGGCGUGGGGCCCUCCUUCUGCUCCCCUUGUAGCUGCUGCCCUCCACUCGGAGGGCAAGUCAGAGUCUCCUGAGCAGGUGAUGGCGAGCCCCAUAGGCACCCAUGAGACAUCCGGGAUGCAGACAGAGAAAGGCCCUGGUGGUGGGUGGUGGCGAGUUCACUCCAACGGGGGCAGCCCCACAGUGAAAACAUCAAGUGAGCAGAUGGUGCCAGGAGUGAGGCCCCACUGCCUGGAAGGGACCAGCCAGGAGAAGCUGGUGGCAGUAGAGAGUCUCCAUGUGGUGUCUGGGGAUGAGGGCUCCAGGUGGACAGAAGGACGCCCUGAGGCUGGACCUGUCAGUUGGAGGAGAGCGGGAGAGGUAGGCGGAGGUAACUGGCACCCCAGAUAGGGCCUUGAGGGAAAGGACACUCGGCAGGGUGUAGGGCUGGGGCUGCAGGCCUGUGUGGGAUCAUGAGGCUGAGACUUAGAAGGCAACUGCUGGAAUGGGGAGGGGCCCCAGGCUUCGUGGGAGGCCGGAUGUGUCUUCAAGGGGGUCCCCCUUUGACUAAAACCCCCUCUACCAGCUCCGCUGGCCGAGACUUCCCAGAAGUCCGUCUACAUUCACCGUCCUCAGCCCACUCCUUCCCACCCCAGGGAGUCCACACUGUCAGGGUCUCCUCUUCUGCCCCCCAGGGGCUGGCUAAAACACAGAGCCCGCCUCGGAUAUCCAGGUGAAAUACCAAAGGCCACCUGCAGGGAGUGCUCCUGUGAACAUGCAGGUGGUCCUAAAUGAACACACCUGCUUUGGGUAAAUAAGAUGCCCCACAUAUGCCAAGGAGGUGUGCCCAGAGCGGAUGCCCAGGAUUCGGGCCCCUGGUCAGCAACUGACUGGGACCUGCUGUUCAGAUGAAUCUCAGUGCCCUGGGGACCAGCUAGGUCACUGCAGCCAUCGACCUUUCUAGGCGUCCGUGCCCCUCA
rnacentral:lncRNA from 1 species